rnacentral:sRNA from 1 species
CAUUGCCCUCUUCAAGGCCCAUGAGGUGGCCUCCAAAAGGAUUGAGGAAAAGAUCCAAGAAGAGAAGUCAAUCCUGCAGAACCUCGACUUGCGGGGCCAGUCCAUCUUCAGUACCAUCCACACCUAUGGCCUCUAUGUGAACUUCAAGAACUUUGUCUGCAACAUCGGGGAAGAUGCAGAGUUGUUUAUGGCCCUCUAUGACCCAGACCAGUCCACUUUUAUCAGGUAGCAGAGACCCACAUCCCCUGCUGCUGACCUAACAAAGAUACCCAGCCUUCCCCUGACCCCUACCCAGGCAGCUCUUUGCCAGAUUUGAGAAGAGAAAAUAGGGAAGCAGGGAAGAUUUCUAAGCAGUAGAAUGUAAAAUCAUAUGGUCUAUGAAGCCUUCAUAUGUCACUACUAGAACAAUGCGGCCAGUUUGUAUAAUCUCUGGGAUUUAGAGAUCACAUAAAACUCAUUAGGGCUUGGAGAUGGGAACAAAGAAUUCAAAACACUGUGUGGGAGGGUGAGAAAGGGAUGAAUAGGCAGAGCACAGAGGAUUUUUAGAGCAACGGCACUAUUCUGUAUGAUGCUAUAGUGGUGGAUGCAUGUCAU